rnacentral:rRNA from 1 species
UACAGAGGGUGCGAGCGUUAAUCGGAAUUACUGGGCGUAAAGCGCGCGUAGGCGGCUUGUUAAGUCGGAUGUGAAAUCCCUGGGCUCAACCUAGGCAUUGCAUUCGAUACUGGCAAGCUAGAGUAUGGGAGAGGAAGGUAGAAUUCCAGGUGUAGCGGUGAAAUGCGUAGAGAUCCGGAAGAACACCGGUGGCGAAGGCGGCCUGCUGGGCAGUAGCUGACGCUGAGGCGCGACAGCGUGGGGAGCAAACAGG